rnacentral:rRNA from 1 species
UACAGAGGGGGCAAGCGUUAUUCGGAAUUAUUGGGCGUAAAGGGCGCGUAGGCGGCCAACUAAGUCGGACGUGAAAUCCCUCAGCUUAACUGGGGAACUGCGUCCGAUACUGGAUGGCUUGGAUUUGGGAGAGGGAUGCGGAAUUCCAGGUGUAGCGGUGAAAUGCGUAGAUAUCUGGAGGAACACCGGUGGCGAAGGCGGCAUCCUGGACCAAUAUUGACGCUGAGGAGCGAAAGCUAGGGGAGCAAACGGG